rnacentral:tRNA from 1 species
GGCAGUGUAGCGUAGUGGUAAGGAGCAGGGCUCAUAACUGAAAGGUUGCUGGUUCGAUUCCCCCGGGGCACUGCUG